GAAACCACAACUGGAGAAAAAGGCAGUGACAGGGCCGCAGGCACUGGCACACUCUGGUCCUGAGUGAGGCGCGGGAGCAGGUGACAGGCGGCGGGCUCCUCAGAGGACACUCCAGGAAGGAGGGAGGUCCCAGCUAGAGCAGGAGCAGCAAACUCUCUGCACAGGGCCGCAUGGUCGCUGUGGCAGGCUUUGCCGGCCACGUGGUCUCUGUCCCAGCUCCUCGCCUCUGCCCUUGCAGUGGGAAGGCAGCCGUGGGCCAUUCGGCUGACCCUGAACGACACGGGUUUCAGCUGCGGGGAUCCACUUCUAUGCAGAUUUUCUUCCGCCUCUGCCACCCCUGAGAUGCUAGACCACCCCCUCCUCCUCCCCCUUCUCCUACUCACAGGAAGACGGCAAGGCCUUUAUGAUGACCUGCUUCUACUUAAUGUAAAUAUAUUUUAUCUUCGUUAUGAUUUUCUUAAUAACAUUUUCUUCUCUCUAGUUCCCUUUAUUGUAGGAAUACAGUUUAUAAUACAACAUACAAAAUAUG
rnacentral:lncRNA from 10 species